GAGUGAAGAAGCAAACAUUGCAAUCAGCUUCGACCUGACCCUUGAUAAGAAAUUAUCCGCACUUU
rnacentral:tRNA from 1 species